UGUUUUAACGCUUCUGGUAGCAAGAAGAAAAGAACAACAACGUGAAUCUCUCUCUUAGCUUCUCUCCUCCGCUCGGAACGGCAACAUCAACGGCGAAGCUUUUUUUCUCAAAUUCGUGAUGCUCUCUCUCGUGUUCUUCUGCUCUCGGCUUGUUCUCACUUGUUAUCUCUUGCUCUCUCGGUUUCUUUUUCUCGGAACAAACACAACAGCAACUCAAUCGGUGAACGAGAACAACUCCUCUCACUCGCAGCAAAUUAACAGGGAUAUGAGGGUGAAAUCGAAUUACCUGCGGCGAGGAGGCUUUCGCCGGUUUAUUGUUGAGGUGAUCAAUGACCUUCGGCGAUGUUGUUAUUGCAACAGUUGUUGCAGAAUUUUUGAACCCUCUGCUUGCUGCUAGUUGUUAACAACCUUGAAUGGCUUUUGAUGAAGGUGAUGCCAUAACACCUCUUUGGAUUGUGGGAGACUUGAAGAUGAACUUCAAGUUGUUGGAAGCUUGAAGAUGAAGAUCUUCAAGAAAGGUAUGAAGAACUACCUUUUCCUUCUUCCUUACUUUGUAACUAGAAUGCUCACCUCCAAUAGAGAAUCUCUUGGCUUGAGAAUUUCUUCUUGCCAAGAGGUCUAUUGAACAAUAUAUAAGCAAUAGAGAGAAGAGAGAAAGCAAGAAUUUAAGUUGCUUUGGUGUAACAAAUACUAUGGAGAGCCCUUAUAUUUAUAGGCAAAAAUUAGGAUAUGUUAGGUAUUAUGUAACUUUGUAGCCAAGUUUGUGAUCAUGGCAAGAAAGGAAUAUUCCCUUUAGGCUAAUCAUUACCAAGCUUUCUUAGUUGUUGAAUUUUCUUGGUGGCCAAGUAUCACAAAUUGUGCACAUGGAAAUAUGCACAUGGGAUGGAAAGAUUCUUUUAUAACUUCUUGCAAGUUCUACGACAUGUGCUUUCUCUUAUGUCAUAAAGUUAGUAACUUCAAUGUGUAGUAGUUAUGACAUAAGAUAUCUUUCUUUGACUUUCUUUGACUUUUUGACUUUUUGAAUUCUUUGACUUUCUUUGACUUUCUUUGACUUUUUGACAUUUGAAUUUUUGCUAAUUUCACCCCUUUUAUGUUUCUUUUUUUUUUCCAUGUCACAUGAGGACUUUUGUAGAAAACAUGAAGAAGGAGACUUGGACAUCAAGAAUGGAUACUUGAAGAUUUCAAGAAUGAAUUCAAGAAAGUCUUGAAACUUUAUUUUUUUCAUUUGUUCUUGUAAUUCCAAUAGAAUUUGUAUGAACUUGUAUUCUUGGAAAUAAAUGGGACUUUGAAUGUUGUA